rnacentral:tRNA from 1 species
GCAGAUGUAACUCAGUUGGUAGAGUGAAACCUUGCCAAGGUUUAUGUCGUGGGUUCGAAUCCCAUUAUCUGCU